GUGUGUGUGUGUGUGUGCGUGUGUAAACGAGCUCAUGGAGAUGCUUCAAUAGAUUGUAAACUACCGGUACUGUGUGUGUGUGUGUGUG